rnacentral:tRNA from 1 species
CAACUUGGGAGCUUGUAAAUAGCACUUGACUUUUAAUCAAGAGAUGAUAUUCUUAUCCUUAGUUA